CGCCGGUCCUUCCCGGUUCUCCCCGGUGUUCCUCGCGCGCUGUGCAGCGGCCCCAAGGCUCCCUCUUGUCGCGCUGUCCGCUCUGCGCGGCCCCAGCCGUUAGCCGAGCCGGCCCGCCUCGGGGAAAACCCGCUUGGGAAAGGACAAAAGCGCCGGGUGGGCAGGGGAGCGAGGGGGAAACCGCAAAGGGAGGAACGGCGGUGCGAGCGCCGAGGUGAGUGACCGCGGCGGGGGCUCGCAGGGCCGAGCAGGUGGAUGGUGUUCGUUGGAGGAACUGCGGCCUGUAGGAGGGACCCUGGAGCAGGGAAGCGGCGUGAGGAGCGGGACGGAGUGCGAGCGAGGAGUGGUUGUGGGCUGACCCCAACCCCCGUUCCUUCUUGUCGCUGGGCUGCUCCACGGGAGGAAGUGGAAGAGUUGGGAAUGAAGAUGAGCCUGGGAAAAAGGGAAUGUGUGGGGAAUGGCGAUGUUUUAAUUUUUGGUUUUGUUUCUUACUAUCGAAGUCUAUUUUAAUAGGCCAGAAAUACUAGACAUCUAUUUUAAUAGGCCCGGUUCCAGCCAUUAACAAGGUAAUUUUUGCGGUAGCCAGGACCCCUGGCAUGGCCAGGACGCCGAUGUUAUUUUAUACCACCUCACAAGGGGGGCAGCGAAAAAGGGAGUCCCUUCUGAGUUAGCGUAGCAAGGCAGAGGGAGCAAUCCAGUGUCUUUUUGCCUCUUUCUUGUACCCUCUGUCAUUAGUAUUGCUGCUGUUACUGUUUGGUAUUUUUAUCUCACUCCUGUUUCCAGUAAAUUGUUUUUAUCUCACCUUUUUCUGCCUCCAGCUCUCCUCACCAGCCAACUGCAGUGGGAAGGGGAGGGAGAACAGGGAAUGAGUGAGUGAGUGGCACAUGGCUUGGAGAGUCUCAGUGGGAGUACUAAACUGGGGAGUACCAUUUCCAAACCACAACAUGCCCCUGAUGGUAAUCGGAGGAAGAGGCUGGGAACAUGUGCACUGGAAAGAAGCUACAGCAUGGUUCAUCCAGAUUCCCAGUCUGUAGACCUGAGGGAUGAGGAAAGAAGAAAAUGCCAAGCAAAAAUCCUGCCUGUAACAUAUUCAGGAUCUGUGUUCGUUGUUACUAUUAUGUGGCUGGAAAAGUCACUAUUCCAGAGGAAAGCACUCUUUUGGCAAAACAAGCAGAGUUUGAACUAUUGCAAGGUCCACUCUUAAACAGAUUUUACUUAACGGCUCACAACAAGUGAAAAAUCAACAAGAAGGCUGCACAGAGGACAGAGUCAGGCCCUUUCCAGUGACAGGACCAGAGGCAACGGGCAUACACUGAAACACAGGAAGUUCUCUCUGAACAUCAGAAAACACUUUUUCAUUGUGAGGGUGACCGAGCACUUGCACAGGUUGCCAUGAGAGAUUAUGGAGUCUCCAUCCUUGGAGAUAUUCAAAAGCUGUCUGGACACGGUCCUGGGCAACUGGCUGUUGGGUGGCCAUGUUUGAGCAAGGGCGUUGGACAAGAUGACCUCCAGAGGUCCCUUCUAACCUCAGCCAUUCUGUAAUUGUGAAUGUAUAUGGCCCACAAAACUGCACAAGAAAGACCUGUAUUCUCACACCUGUGUGAUUUACUCUGGAUUUCCUAGAGGCACAUCACCUAAUUGUAAUUUAUCAAAUAGAAUUACUGCCCAAUAUAAAAGUUUACUUUAUGGACACAAAUGUCAAUUGUUGAUUUCUAGAAAGGCAAACCUCUAAAUUAAAGGUUUAAAAUUAAAAAGAAGUCAAGAAUCUAUUUCCAAUUUAAAAUCUGGUGGCUUUUACACUUUUCAGUGGUAUUAAAGGCUUUUCCUUUCUUCGGAAGCUGAGGGCACUAUAUAGACAUUUAAGAUUGCACAGGCAAGUGCACCUCAUGUCAUGACUGCAAUUAGCAGCAACUAUCCACCUGUCUCAAGAGUUUAACAAUGCAUGGAUUUUGCUAAUAUACUACAGGAUUUAUGCUUAUUCCCACUUGGGCAGAACAGGAAGGAAUUUUACCCUGCUCUUGGAUUAGCUAUGUGCAUUAUAUUUGCCUUAUCUACAACCAGACAUCCAGGGACCCAGUAGGGUAAACAGACUCAAAACAAACCACCUUAAUUACUGUGUCAUAAAGAUACCUGAGGCACAGGACGCUUGGAAAAGAGCUUGGCAGGCAGGGAGGCAAACUAUCAGCUACAACAGGACCCAGGAGAGAAAUCUGGGUUUGCUACAUGACAGAUCCAGCACAAAACACCAGCUCCUUGUCACUGCAGAAUCACAGCUGUCCACCUGUCCUCUGCAUCAGCUGUAGAAGAGCUGGGUAUGGUCAUGGCCCCCCAACAGAUGGAAACUUAUCAAGGAAGAAUC